CAUGCAAGUCGAACGGAAUAAUGACUUCGGUUGUUAUUUAGUGGCGGAAGGGUUAGUAAUACAUAGAUAAUCUGUCCUCAACUUGGGAAUAACGGUUGGAAACGACCGCUAAUACCGAAUGUGGUAUGUUUAGGCAUCUAAAACAUAUUAAAGAAGGGGAUCUUCGGACCUUUCGGUUGAGGGAGAGUCUAUGGGAUAUCAGCUUGUUGGUGGGGUAAUGGCCUACCAAGGCUUUGACGUCUAGGCGGAUUGAGAGAUUGACCGCCAACACUGGGACUGAGACACUGCCCAGACUUCUACGGAAGGCUGCAGUCGAGAAUCUUUCGCAAUGGACGAAAGUCUGACGAAGCGACGCCGCGUGUGUGAUGAAGGCUCUAGGGUUGUAAAGCACUUUCGCUUGGGAAUAAGAGAGAUUGGCUAAUAUCCAAUCGAUUUGAGCGUACCAGGUAAAGAAGCACCGGCUAACUCCGUGCCAGCAGCUGCGGUAAUACGGAGGGUGCUAGCGUUAAUCGGAUUUAUUGGGCGUAAAGGGCGUGUAGGCGGAAAGGAAAGUUAGAUGUUAAAUCUUGGGGCUCAACCCCAAGCCAGCAUCUAAUACUAUCUUUCUAGAGGGUAGAUGGAGAAAAGGGAAUUCCACGUGUAGCGGUGAAAUGCGUAGAUAUGUGGAAGAACACCAGUGGCGAAGGCGCUUUUCUAAUUUACACCUGACGCUAAGGCGCGAAAGCAAGGGGAGCAAACAGGAUUAGA
rnacentral:rRNA from 1 species